GUACAAGCCCCAUAACCCCUCACCUCACGGCAUUUGAGCUCUGACCUGCAGGGUGGACACUGAACGAGACCUGCUUUCCCUUUGCCUUCAGGAUCUCACUGGUUUUGCUCAAGCAGAAAAGGCAGGAGCUGAACGUGAAUAUUACUUAGAUGUCUGCCGGGAAGGAGAGCAUUCUACAAGCAGUGGGUGAUGUCCUCAGCAACAACGGGAUCCAGGAGGAGAAGAGAGGGGAAAUUCUGCAGCUGACAAGAGAUGCAAUCAAGGUGAUUGAAAACUACAUCUGGAUGCUCGAUUGGGCUCUGAAAACCACAGCUGCUGGGCUUUCCAAGGAUCUCAGGGCCAUGUGGUCAUCCGGCUGCCAGAGAAAAUCCAGCCCAGAGCUUUCACCAUCUGGCACAUCUCCAGGGCAGUCUCUCCAUGUGGGGAAGUCAGCAGCGCCCCCGAAGAGUUUGCUGUCUCAGUAAGUCUCUGCCUGCUGCUUCUUCUGGAGGGACCCCGGGCCCGAGGAAGAGCUUUGCCAGAGAUGUCCUUCUGGUGGUGAGAUCUCCCAGAGACCUGUGGUGGGCUGCUGCAGAGCACUGCAUCCUGCCAAAGGGCAUGGAGAUGCUUGGGGUGGUUACACCUUGCGUUUCUUCUGGAUCGUGGACAGGAGCCUCAGCAUGCUCACCCAGCAUGCUCAGGGUGUCAGGAACUAAGAGCCAAAUGCCACACGGAGCAGCAGCCCUGGUGUCCAUCAGAGCUGCCUCUCACUGCCCAGUGAGUGCUCCCUCUCUGCUGCCUUUGAGUCGUGGCUGCUGCUUCCCUGGAGCUACAGCCGUGGGCAGCAGCGGCCCACUUUGGAGAGUGCUGCUCUCCUUAGAGUUCUACAAUGUCCUCUUGUGUCCAGCUGCCCUGGACAAGCCUCUCACGUUCCCUGAGAAGGGCAAGGGAGCAUUUCUGUGUGCUCAGGGAGGGACAGAUGAGAAGGAACAAGCCUUGCCCUCCGGCUGCCAUGCUCAGGACCUGCAGCCAGCACCCAGGUGGGGCUCUGCCUCCCUCCUCGCCUGCCCCCUCCUGUGAUGUCACCGCUGAUGCACUUGGUGACCUCAUGGUGCUGCUGGCCAGCACGUCUCCUGAAGGCUAGCCGGGCGCUGCAGAGGCAGUGACCCCGCACCACCACUCCAGCUACCUUCCCUCGGCCCACCCUUCCCCUGCCCCCCUGCCCUGUCCAGUUCCUGCUGGGAUGAGCAGUCUGGGGAUGCGCUUCCUGUCCCAGACAGCCUCCUCCAGCUGCCGGCCAGUCAGGCUUCUGUGACAGGAGAGUCCCCACCAUCAGCACCACAAUUUCUGUUGCCUUUCCUGCUUCUCCUUAUCUUCUCCUUUGGCUCCUUGUCCCUCGGGACCACACAUUCUACACUGAAAUAAAUCCCUUUAAUCUCUUAAGCCUCUCCCCUUCCUUGUAGAAUGUGUUACAUUUGGAGCUUACGGUGUUUGUGCUUGAAGUCUGUGACAAAGUGGGUGCUGAGACCUGCACUCCAUGGUGUGAAGGAGACCUCACAGAGAAAAGGUGAUGUUAAGUCCCUUAUCCAGAGAGCGUCAGCGAUGCCAUCUCCUUUGCAACCUCUUCGUGUGUGGUGAGAAGCAUCUGGGUCUCCCUCAUCUGUGGGGUCUCCAGCAUCCUCAAGGUCUCUCCAGUGGGUGUUUUCCCAUGAGAAACGAGGCCUGAAAGAAACUUCCUGCAGGCAAGAAACACGUAGGGCCUUCCUUUCUUGUGGAUUAGGCAAUGUGUAGUGAGGUUCAAGCUCGGGAUGAAGCUCUUCCUGCACUGCAGGCAUUUCUAAGGUCUCUACCUUGAGUACCUCUGGUACUUGACCAGGUUGGAGAUGUGCUUGAAGCUCUUCCCACACUCGGGACAUUUGCAGCACUUCUUCCAUGAGUGCUGUCUCCUGCAAGUGAGGAGCUCUGCACUCUGCAUAAAGCCCUUCUCACACUCAAGGCAUUUGUAAGGCUUCUUGCCAUGUGGACUCGUUAGCACACACAUGUGCACGGCUUCUCCCCAGUGCAGACAUUCUGGCACCUCACGAAGGUCAAGCAGUUCCUGAAGCUCUUCCUACAGGCUGCACAUUCACAGCAUUUUGAACGUGGAUCCACUGGUGUGCAGUGAGCUCCCAGUUCUGGACAUCCCUCUUCCUGCAGUCAAGGCACUCAAAGAGGCUCUACCCUGUGUUGCUUCACUGGGGUCUGCCGAGGGUGGAGCUGCAGCUGGAGCUCUUCCCACACUCCUUGUAGACAGACUUUCUUCCUCCCUGGUGACUUCUCAAUACAGCUGAGGCUUCCUUUGGGUCCUCACCUGCUGCCCCACGGCAUAUGGGUUUCUCUGAGGGUGAGAAGAGGUGACUUCCCCGGGCAUCUCCCUGCACGCAGGCGUGGCCGAAUUGUGCCACCCGGCAGAAUGACCCACUUGCUGACAUCCCAUGGGUGUCCAGUAUCUUUGCCAUAACCUGCUCUGGACCCUCCUUUGCAUGCGCACUCAACACCGUGUCUCCAGUGCCUCCAGAAAGCAGUGUGGGUUAUUCCCAUGCAAGGAAGGGGGACCCUGAUUUACUUUGGCCCCCGAGCUCUUCCUCUGCUUAAGGGAUUUGUAAGGUUCAUCACUGUGCAAAGUCACAGGCUUUGACCAGGCUGGGGCUCUGGCUGAAGGUCUUCCCACCCUUGGAGCACUGCAGCCUCUGUUGCCUGGGUGGACGUGCGGGUAGGUCAUCAGGCAGGAACUGCUUGUGAAGGUUCUCACAAACCUGGGGCACUGUGAUGGUCUGUCUCCUCUGUGGAUGUGCUUGUGGAAGCUGAGUUUAGAACUGUUUAUAAAGCCCUUCCCACACUCGGAGCACUUGUAGGGUCUCUCUCCUGUGUGGAUGCGGAGGUGGUUAACGAGGUCGGAAU